GUAUUCACUUAAAGAACAAAUCAUCGUGCUUAUUUUUUUAAUAAGAUGCUUUAAUAGUUUGGAAGUUGAUUUAAUCAGAGAACAAGUGCAAAAACUUAUCAGUUUACCAAUGUGGUGUUGUUUACAACCUGGGAGGUUGGAACAAGAAUUAAAAUCUGUUCCACAAUACCAAAAAUAUUGGAAUAUAAUUAAAAGGAAAGAUAGUAAAGCUAGCCCAGAUGAUCUUAAAAGGCUUGAGUUUGAGCGAAGGUUCAUAUCUGAUCUCAUUUAUGUAUUCUUUAAAGUUUUACAAAGCAUCACAGAAGGUAA
rnacentral:lncRNA from 1 species